GUUAAAUUGCGUGUUACUUACAGCAUGUCAAAAACUGACUUUCUGAGUCUUGUUAAUCUCCGGGGAAAGGGUGAAUGGACUAUCACUCCUCUUCAUGAUGGCUUGUUCUUUUUUUUGUCUAAUUGAUGGUAGCUGAUAAGUAUAAACAAGUGUGUCCAAUGAUUGGAGAGCAUUCAUAAGGGAACUUGUCGCUCAAACCUAUGUAGGUAGUGCCUUGGUGCCAGACCAAG